AGCAUGUUCUAGAGCAUGAGAACAAAGAGAUGACUGAAAACAGUGUUUGUCCUCAUAAAGUCCCUAGUCCAGCAACAGAACUCAGUACCAGGUGGCCCGUGGCUGUCCGUCCCUCUCAGCCCAUUUGGAGGUGACUCUUGCUUCUCUCUUGAUGGAUCAGCUUUCACUGCCCACCCCCAGGGACAUGACCAAAGAGGUUCCUCCUCUCUACCCCUAAGCGGUGAGUCCAUAGGCUCCCUGGAGAGUUCAGUCAUCUCUUCUGGAGCAAGUCACCUAGCAGCAGUGAACCUCCAUUUCUUUAUCUCAAAAAUGGGAGUCAAUAAUCCCUGCCUUAUUGAUGUCACUGGAUUGUCAUAAAAAUGACAUCAUUAUGUAAAGGUCUUUGUAACCUGCCACGUACUCUAUAAUGAUGAGAUACUCCUUAUAUUAAACCAAAGAAAGAAAUGACUCUGCUAAAGAUGGAAUUUUAGACAUCAAAUUAGAACUGAGAGACACUCAAAGAUUCUGGACUGUCUUCUGAGCAGAGAAUAAAAAGUAGCUAUCAUCUGCCCACCACAGACAUGAAAAAACAAGAAAGACAGUUUGCAGAGAGGAGAGAAUGAAACAGGACUGUAGAGAGAAGCAGAGACAAGAAAUGGAUCUUCCCAUCUCGUCAUGAGCUUCCACUUCCAGUGCUUGGCCUUUGGACUUUUCUCUUCAUUAUGCCAUUGGCCAGCAGUGUGACCACAUGGAAGCAGCAUGGGCUCUGAAGCCAGGCUGAUGUGUGUCCAGAUCUAAGCCCUGCCGUCUACUAGCUUGGUGAUCUUGGGUAAGUUAUUUAAUCUCUGAGAGUCCCAUUUCCUCAUUUGUAAAAUGGGGAUAGUCAUACUUAAUACAUGGAAUUGGUUCAAAGGUUUAAAAAUGAGCCAAGUUGUAAAAGAUUGGUGCUUAGCAUGUUCUUUGUAACUGAUUAUCAGUAUUUUUCAGAGACAGCAUAAAUUUUGGAAUCAGAUUCAAAUCCUGGCUUAGUCACUUGAUAUGUCUCUAACUGCAAGUUACUUCUUUAAGUCUCAGCUCUAAGUGCCAUGAAGGUCAAGAUCUUGUCUGUGGUGUUCACUGUUGUCUCCUUAGCAUCUAACACAGAUCCUGACACAUGGUUGUUGAAUGAACCAAUAAAUGAAUGAAAAAUUAAGAUAAUUUCUUACCACACUAUAGUGAGAAUUCUAAAAACUGUACACUCUGUACCACUUACAGUUACAAUGCCCAGUACACAGUAGGCCACAAUAACUGAUUUUUGAUGCUCAAAACAAAUGAAUAUAAGAAAAUAGGAUAUGUAAAGUCCUUGGGCAUUCAUGCUCCCAUAUUUAUCAUGUAAUUAUAGGAGUAGGCAAUAAGAGGAUGUGGCUAAAUGGCUGGCCUGAUGACUAAUAUCGUCUAGCAUUAAAUUGUGUUCAUACCGCCAACACAACACUAUUAAAGGCAGCAAGAAUCACUUGUUUGUUUAGUAAAUAUGUAUUGAGCACAUAGGAUGUAGAUGACGCCAAAAUGGACAAAAUAUUUAUGAACAAGUACAUCUAUAUCAAGGACAGAAUGUGGAGAUGCUUGCUUUCUAGGAAUUGAGGCCUCAGAUGACUGGAGUUUCCAUAUAAAGGAGUUUCCAAAAAGAUCGUAAUGAAUAGACAGAAUACUUGGUAGCCCCUUUCUUUAAUUCGAAUACUACUUUCAUAACUGUGACAUUUCUGCUUCCACUCAUUUAGGCAGAGAGAGUAACCCCUAUGACCUUUGGUCAUCAAUGCAGAUAGUGGAGAAACAGAUUAUGGAGGUUGGGACAAGGGAGUUUCCUACUGCCCUGGAUGUUUCCCUCCCAGUAUUGCAAUAGGAUGGGAAGGAGGACUGCAUAGAUAUAAGGAAUAGGUGGUGGGAGGGUGAACUGCGGCUGUGAGUCUAAAGUUAAAUGAUCAUACCACACCUCAUCCAAAACCUGGCUUCUAGGUGAUUUCACCUAAAAUAUUCCAAACUGAUGCAUGUCAUUCAUGUUCUCCAACACAGAUAAGAGAGUAGACUCCAUAGGUAGUAGCAGAGUCCUGUUUCUCAAGAGGAGGAAAAAGUCCUGAACUGUUAUGCUGAAUUAUCAAAUUUGAAUUUUGUUACCACAUAUUUAUAUAUUGAGACCAAUCAAUCUUAAUUCAAAAUAUAUAAUAUGACAUAUAGUUAAAACAAUAGUAUAUGUCUUCGUAUAAUAAUUUCUAGCCAAAAGAGCAAGACAGAAACCUCCUAGUCUAGCCUUAAGCUUCCUUAGCUCCCUUUGUGCCCUGUAAAGCACUAAUGGUGUCAGUAGCUUUCUGGCCACAACAGGAUACACAGGAUACUGGUAGUAACAGCAAUACGCUCGAAAAAUAAUAAGCAGAAAAUGUUCUAGGAUCAAGGACACAUGAAGAAAAGAAGGUGGGAGGGAGGGGAGGAGAAGGAUGAGGCAAGAAAGAAGAAGAAAGGAGGAGCUCAAAGGAAUGGUCCUUCCACUCUCACUGGCCUUUGGGGAGCUUCUGUAUCAAUUAGCUGGGGAACACGGUGCUGACCUAGGUGAAACAUGAUGCUGGGAGAAUCUUCUACAUCAGGCCCCAGGCUGUAUGAGUACCCCAGGCCACUUCUGGCGGAGUAGCAAACUGCAGUAGGUGAUCCUUCUGGCUCCCUUUAGUCUAGUCCACCCACUUGGUCAACCCCAAAAUGAACAGAGAUAGAAAGGGGAUGAAAAGUAGUUAGGAGUGAACAUAUGUGUGGAAGAGAAGCAGAGAAUUAGCCCCAUUCCUGGACAUGGGCUCACGAAGGUUUAUUUUGGGUAGGCCAGAUGUGAAAGACUUCUCUAUUUUCUAGUGUUCCCAGGGCAACAAAAAUCAGGGCUCAUGUCAUUUGUGAUGAAAAGGAAGUUUAGACUUUUACCAGGUUCUCCUUCCUAAGUGCUUCUGAAAAUCCCCAAGGAAUGCUUACCUGUUCCACACAUCUUCCCUAGCUACUGCUUGUCCCUUCAGCUAAGAGCUAGACUGCUGCUCCAGUCUUCAGCAGGCCACCCCUGGCCAUCUCAGAACCACCUUCCAGAUUGUUGCCAGGCUUCCCUAUCUGCUGUAUUCCCGGCACUGACACAUGCCCAUCCCUGAAUCCCUGAAGUACCACAACAAUCAGGAGGCUUGGGAUAACAGAAGGGAAUUAUGAUAUAGAAAACAGCAUUUUCCUAAAAAAGAAUUGGGCUCCCAAAUCCUUCACCUGCCUCAGGUUGCAUCUUUUCUACGUUGCUGAUUACAAUUUUUUGCUUUCCUUGGCUCCUAACUCCCUCUGUGGAAUGAGAGUGGGCAGCUCCAAGUCCUUUUAUCCAAGAGAAGAAGCCCUUAGGGCUCUGCAGGUGCUGUCAACCCCACCAUACCUCUGAUUUGUAUCUGCCAACAUGGAACAGACAUGGAGAGGAUAAAGAAGUAGGAAGAAGCUGAGAAGAAGGGAGAUGAGAAAGUGCUGACUGAAACAUCAGCACUAUGCUCUAUGGCUCAGAAGUGUCUUCUAAUAGUAACAUUCUAUAUUUUAUUUAUAUAACAACUUUUCUCAUGAGUUAUGCUCUUAUAAGAAAAACUGAAGGACUAUCAAUAGAAAACUUAACCAAGCUGCAAUUUUUGUAACAUGAGGUUGCAGAGUAUAUUCUUUUUUAGGAAGAUGCUAGGCCUGCCUUAUCCCGAAAGAAAAAAGAAUAUGCCUUGUUUAUUGAAAUUGCUAAAAUAUUAAAUUGAUAUCAUGAGUCCCAUUUUAGUGUGUCUGAGUGAGAAUCUGUUGAAGCAGACGGGACAUUAUGGGAAGAAAUCUUACAAAGUAAAAUUAGAUUUUUCAUACACAGAGUAGCAGCUGUUCAGAUUGCAGGAAAAUCCUUAGAAGCCAUUUAUCAGGUGGCAAUGUGGUGAACAACAAAGACAACUCUUCUUUCAGAUGUGAGAAUGGUCCAGCACACCUCUGUGACUGCAGAUGACAGCAUGCUGUGUUCCAAAUAUUGGAACUAUUGAAUAACUGAUGUUCAAAGAUUUAUACAUCUGAAUGAACAUUCUAGAGUGCAAAUUGCCUUUGACUUAACGUGACCAAAAACAGAAUUCUAAAGUGUAAUCACAUGCUGGAUGUGCCCAACGACUAUGAUACAGAGUGAUGUGUGCAUAGGCCAGUGGUUUCUUUAGGUACAAGACAUGCCAAACACAACUGAAUAGCCAGGUUUGAGAUUAGGCAAGUGUUUUAAAGUAGAAAAAGCCACAAUUGGGAUAAAAACAAAGCAAGAAUAUGGGAGACAAACAAGAAAGUACAACGGAGUAAUUGCAACUAAGGCAACUCAAUUGGUAGAUAGGUCUAAGAACCAAAGAGUUCAAACAUUUGUAAAUUAUUUUCCUGCUUUUGGACAGACAGGUCAAAGUUACUUUUCUGAACUAGAAAGAUUUGUAGGGAGAUGAAUUUUAGAGGCAGUAAAGGGCCACCCCAAAGUAAAACUGUCAAGUUAAUAAAGUCUGUUGUCAUGAUGACAAUAGCUUUUGAGAAGAGGAUUGACAUGAUGUCAACGUUUUGUUUUGAGGAAGAUUAAUCUACUGGUAAUAAGAAAGAUGACUUGAAAGGGGACGGGCAGGGUGGAUUCAGGUUUUGUGUGUCUGAAGCUAAUACCAGCUUUAAAAGGGUAGGGGCUCUGUUUAAGAAAAAGAAUACAGAUUCAAGUAUACAAAAUUUGCUAGGGCCCUUCCCAGAGCCUUUGAAUGGCUUCAUGCAAGGAAAGGAGUCUGAAGGUUAAGCUUCCUUACCUUCGAUAAGCCACCUCAUAAGCAGAUGAUAGCUAAGCCACUAACAGUGUCACCCUCAUCUUGCCAGCCACCCAAGUGAGACCCCCAGGAGUCAUCUUUUAUCCUUCAUCCUAUUUCCUCUUCAGUCACCAAGCCAUGCCCAUUUAAUUUCCUAAGUAUUUCUCAAGUUCAUUUAUUUCUUCAUUCUUCAUUCCAGUACCUUAGAUCUACCUGUCACUGCCUCUUAACUACUCCAUUGCAAAUAGCUUUUCCAAACUCGUUCCCUGUUUCCACCCUGUUUACCUCCUAGAAACCUAUCCUUCACCCAGCCGCUCAGAAUACUCUAUCUAUGGGUAGAUCUGAUAAUCUCACACUUCUGGUUAAUACUCUUCAUUAAAGCUUCAUCAGGAGAAGGCCCAAGCCUCCAUAGUAUUAUAAGCAAAGCCUGUGUGAUCUCACCCCUUUGUCAGCUCAGCUCUUGACACCCUUGCUUUGCACUUCUCACAUGUCAGCACAAUACUGCAUUUCUGGCAAAUGCCUUGAAAGUUUUUACAUCUGGGUUUUUGGUUCCUGACUGACCUCUUGGCUGAGAAUUAUCUCCCUUUUCCCUCAUCCCUCCUCCUUCUAAACUCUCUUUACCAGGCUCACCUUUUCCUGGGGGUCUUCAUAGAGACCCACCCCUCUGCCCCCAUCAAGCUGGUGAGGUGCCCUCCUCUGUAAUGACACAUACAGUGCUCCAUCAAGGCACUCAGCACCCUGUGUUAAAAGGACCUGUUUAUAGCUGCCUUUCCCUCUCCUCUCCAGACUGUGAUCUCCUUGGGAAUAGGAGCCACAUCUGAUGCAUUUUUUUAUCCGCAGCACUUCACAGAAUGUAGGUCUCACUAGAUAUUUUUGAAUGAGUGAACAAAUUAAUGAUGAAAUCAAGCACUACAUGAGUUAUUCUCUGUGAUAGAGCAUAGAAAGAUAAGAGAUAGUUCUGGGGUAUGUCUAAGCUUGUGAGUAGGAGAAAGAAAAGAAAGCAAUUAAACACAGAAGACAGAAUAAUCAGUAAAAGGGAUCAAUAGCUAUCGUUUAUGUUGUUUUUCUACUUAUCAUCAAGUUACGUUUCUACAAUGAAUUCAUAUUCCUUUUUAAAAAUGAAAGAAAGGAGUUUAUUAGGGUAAUUGCUAAGCUACUGAGACAAAAAGACCACAAAAUAGAAUGAUGAAAAUGUAGUGUAAAUGUAAUUCUCUCACAUGUAAAAAUCCAGUGGUGAUCAGUUUAGGGCUGGCAGAGGAGCACUGCUGUCCUCAACAUGCUAGCCCUGCCACCUUAACAGCAAUUGCUUCCACUAUGGUUUGAACUUUCCCCCAAAGUUCAUGUGUUGGAAACUUAAUCCCCAAUGCAACAGGAUUGUGGGGUGAGGCCUAAUUGGAGGUGUUUAGGUCAUGAGGGCUCUGCCCUAAUAAAUUGAUUAAUGUCAUUAUCUUGAGAGUCGGUUUGUUAUGACAGUGAAUUCAACCCCCUCUUGCCCACCCUUGUGAUGCCUUCUGUCAUGUUUUGAUUGUAAACCAAAAGUAUCUGAGACAGCUCUUGGUCAAUUUAGAAAGCUUAUUUUGCCAA
rnacentral:lncRNA from 1 species